ACGGUGUACAAAUGCUGUGGCAACACCUGGGACUCCCUGCCUCUUUUCUGGAUGUUUCUGAAUAACCCUCCCCUUAAUUUGCAUGUAAUUAAAAGUAGGUAUAAAUACUGCCAGCCAGGAGCCCCUAUGCUGCUAACUCUGGGUGCACUGCCUAUGGUUUAGCCCUGAUCCACAAGGACCAGUCACUGAGCUGUGCACUGCUGCUUCUACUAACUUGCUUUCUUCCACUGCUGGCUCACUCUUGAAUUCUUUCCUGAGCAAAGCCAGGAACCCACCCAUGCUAACCCCCGCUUUUGGGACUCGCCUGCCCUGCAUCAAGAACAUCAAUAAAAGAAGAAGAAUUCUGAAUGCCAAAAAAAUGCUACUGCUCACUUUUCCUCAAACUGUCUAUGGUGAAAGCAAGACCUUCACCAGAUGUAGGC
rnacentral:lncRNA from 1 species